CCCUCUUUUCCCUACCCGAUUCCCAGGCAGCCAGUGAUUUCCUUUCUUUCACUAGAUGAUAGUUUGUACUUCCUAGAUUUCAUGUAAAUGAAAUCAUAAAGUAUGAUGUUUUUUAGGCUUGCCUCUUUCAUGAAUCAUAGUUAUUUUUUGUAUAUCAACAGUUUAUUCCUUUUUAUUGCUAAAUAGCAUUUCAUUACAUGAGCAGAUAACAGUUUAUUUAUUCAUCUGUGGAUGAGCCUUUGGUUUGUUUCUUUUUUCAGCUAUCAUAAAAGGACUAUGGAUAUUUCUGAUAUAAGCCCUAGAAGUUGCCAAGAUAAUUUCCAAAUUAGUUUCAACAUUAUACAUUCACCAGAAAUGUAUGAGAGUUCCAGCUCUUCCAUAUCCUGGCCAAAUUUGAUACUUGAAGUCCUCUUAUGAAGCAUUACUGUUUUCUCAAAAAUCUGCCAUUAGCAUUGGAAGGAAUUGUAACUGAGCCCCCAUCUUGCCUGUGCCUUAACUUUCUCUAGGAAUGAUCUUACAUCCAUGGAUGUGACUGUCUGAGCAAGUGGAAGAAGCCAUGGUAUAACACAGAUUAAAUUAUCUCAGUGAUGAUGGUAAUCAUUUCCAAAAGAAGGUAGUGGUCCUCUUCCCUGAACUGUAAGAACUGUGAUUUCAUGCACUCCAAGUUGAGAACCCCUGCAGGAUCCUGAGUUGACUAAAUCCUAAUCAGUACGGCAGUCAAAGAUUCCGUAGUGCCUGGCCAUUGUAUGGAAAGAUCAGUCUUCUCAAGGUUAUUAAAAUCUCCCAUAAUAUAUUCACUGUGUACUUACAUGAAUACAAUGAUGUCAACUAAAAUACAAUUUAUUUCAAAUUUUUAAUUUUGUGUUGUCUAUUAAGUAUGCUUACAUUUUUAUGUCAACAUGGUUUCACUUUUUAUGUUAGAAAAUGCUAAGCAAUAAAUGCUACAGCUGAAUGUUGAAAGGUAUUAGUGUUGCUUGAAGCUCACCAAAUAAACACCCAGAUACUCCACGGGUAUAGCCCAGUCCUGACCUUCAGUGGAUAGGAAACUAUUCAGUGAAAUGUAAUGCACAGUACUGGAUUAUGGUCAGUGGAAUUUUUCAAAAUAAAUUAUCCAUAUCUGUAUUACUUGAUUCGGCUUGACUCCUCUUUUAACUAAAGUAUGUUUUAACUGUUUUUUUUCUUUUUUCUUUUUUUUUUUUUUGAGACAGAGACUCCCUCUGUCGCACAGGCUGGAAUGGAGUGCAGUGGCACGAUCGCGGCUCACUGCAAGCUCCGCCUCCGGGGUUCACACCAUUCUCCUGCCUCAGCCUCCCAAGUAGCUGGGACUACAGGAGCCCGCCACUACACCCGGCUAAUUUUUUGUAUUUUUAGUGGAGACGGGGUUUCACCGGGUUAGCCAGGAUGGUCUCGAUCUCCCGACCUCGUCAUCUGCCCGCCUCAGCCUCCCAAAGUGCUGGGAUUACAGGCGUGAGCCACCACGCCCGGCCCAACUAUUUUUUAUUAAUUACUGGCAAACUCCUAUUUUCCAGCCACUUCUGUUAUUCUUAUAAAACACUUUUACACUAUUUACAAAUGUGCAUUAAUACAAAAUUAUUGGUUUAUGCGAUUUCUCAAAAAAAUUUCAUCAUGUACCUCAAAGCUUAAGGUAGUUGGAGGUUCAAGUUCCAAUUAGAACUUAGUGCAAAUCCCUUCUGCAGAUACAAGUAUAGUAAAAUAAUUAUUGCCUGGGAAUUUCAGAAACCUUUUAUAGCUCCUGCUAUUGUCUUCUUGCCAAAAUGAACUAUCUGCUCAUUUAUUCUAAAUUAGAAUUGUGCAGUUAACAAAGAUCAAGAAGAUUAAAAACAUGGUGUGAAGCCAGUUUAGCAUAACAUUUAGUAUUUCCUUUUGUAAGUACUGCUCUCCUGUGCUUAGUUAAGUAUUAUUUAAGAUACUAUUGGAUCUUUAUAGAAUGUUCCCAUGAUUAAAAUUUAAUUUUGACACUACAACAUGUACAAAGUUCUGUCAAGUAUUAUUAAUGAUUAAACAAUGAGGAAAUAUGUUAUUACAGUGUGUUCAAUCUUUAAUGUCCAUUAAAUCCACUUGGUAAGUGUAAGUGGAAAUGAUACUAACUACAAUUCUCAUUCUCUAGUCCUUUACACAUUAUAAAGAAAUGAGGAUCUUACAAUACCAAUCAAUAAGUGAUGAAAAGAAACUGUGCGUGGUGGCUGAAAUUUGAAUGGGCCUUUCACAGAAAUCUUAUUAUUCUCCUACUAGGGACAGUGCAGAACAGACAUUCCACUUCCCGCUUUGUAAGCAAAUGCCUAGGCGUGUAGCACUGUGAUUAUAUUUCUAUCUUCGGCCUUAGAUCAUCUUCAGCAUCAGAGAGUUCUGAAAAUCCCAUUAAGAAGUCAUUUCAAGGAAACAUAAAUGUUCUUUGAAAUAAUCUUCAAUGCUUUUCUAAUUUUUUAUAUUAAUGUCUCCUGCAACCCUCUUCCCAGAAUGGGUAAUAAAUCCUCUUAUAUUUAUGCACAGAGAGAUAUGUAUAUACAGUUUAUUUACUUCCUGUUUUAAUUGCUGUCCUAACUAAAUACAACACAUGUAAUGCAAAUGUUUGCCAAACUUUGUAUGGGUUGUACUUAACAUGUAUAACACUGGCAUUUUAGCUGAACUGAUCGUGACAAAGCAUUCCUGAAUAAAAAUUACUUUUUUAGAAAGGAAACAGUUCUGUUGCAAAAUCAAGUUUUUACUUUUUCUUAUGGUUUUGUAGCCUAACGAAAAAUGAAUACAUGAUGAAAUGUAUCCCAAUUUCCUUCCACUUUUAAUUGAUCUUCAUAGGCUUGAGGGAAUUUGUCUUUAUAUUCAUCUCCCAGGGAGAAUUUCCACCAAAUUAUUUGAGUGAGUUAUCAUCAUUCAACUUUGCCUGGC
rnacentral:lncRNA from 1 species